GCAAGCAAAGGGAUCCUUGGAAGGCAGUGAAGUGAGGUUUAUAUGCAGGCCAGGCAAGAGAAUCAUGCUCUAAGUGGGAGAAGCAGCUACGAAAAGCCUCUUGUAAUUUCGAGAUUCAACGAUGGUACUAGACAAGGCCUAAAGCAGUUAACACUAAGGACCAGAAGGCCAAAGGAGAAGACUGAGAGUCUCAAAUUCUACCUGGAUUGUACCAACUAUGCCUGAAAUAUUUAAAUCUGGACUUUGAAAUUUCACAAGAACUUUACCUUUGGAUUUCUCAUAUGCUAACGUAACGAAAAUGUGUCUGUUAACAAUGAACGAACAUACCAUCUUCCUAAGAUACUGUGGUAGUUCAGACAUGCAAGCUAACUAUCCAUACCCAUAAAAUAAAAACAAAAAGGUUUACUGUA